CGAGCUUUGUGCGGGAAGGUUUUGUGUCCAAACCGGUCCAGUGUCCUGUGUGUCCGUGAGGCCGACAGUAAAGACUUUGAUGAGCUGAACUCGCCCACAGGUGACACCUGAAGGAGCUGCUGGCAGGUCGGGGCUGAACAGCAGACAAGCUUCAGGACGCCCUCUGCGGUGAUGAAAGUACAGGAGUGGUGCUGAUUGUGUGAACUGGUGAAUAAACGGAUAACUCCCCAUUUUUACCUCCAUCCUGAGAAUGUGUCAGAUCCCGUCCUCUUCUGUCCUCUUUUUCCUUCCGGUCGGUUUCAGCCUUUAGGAGCAAACUUCUCCUGAGGAGCAGAGAGGAGAGCAACCAGCUCUGUGUUUCUGUCUGGAGCCAGACCAGCAGCAUGGAUGGAGAGGAGGAGCGCCCAACAUUUACGCACAUUUCACUCCCUCCCUGUCAACUAGUUCAGGAAAAGGGAAAAAAAAAAGUGGGUUUGAGGACUUUCAAAAUAUAAUCCUGCUCAUUUCUGUUUUUGCUCAAACUAAUGAGCAGAUAAAGAGAACUGGAUUUGAAAUAAAAGCUUUAUAGCGUUUGUAAAGAUGCAUUUUA